ACUCUAGUUUGACUUUGUGAAAAGACGGGUGUAGAAUAGGCGGGAGUUCCGGCGCCGGUGAAAUACCACACUAUCUUUAUCGUAUUUUACUUAUUCAAUGAAGCGGAACUGGGCUUCACCGCCCAAUUCUGGCGUUAAGGUCCCUCGCGGACCAAUCUGAGUUGAAGACAUUGUCAGGCGGGGAGU
rnacentral:ncRNA from 1 species